rnacentral:rRNA from 1 species
UUCGGGAUAAGCCUGGGAAACUGGGUCUAAUACCGGAUAUGAACUCCUGCCGCAUGGUGGGGGUUGGAAAGUUUUUCGGUGCAGGAUGAGCCCGCGGCCUAUCAGCUUGUUGGUGGGGUAAUGGCCUACCAAGGCGACGACGGGUAGCCGGCCUGAGAGGGUGAUCGGCCACACUGGGACUGAGACACGGCCCAGACUCCUACGGGAGGCAGCAGUGGGGAAUAUUGCACAAUGGGCGAAAGCCUGAUGCAGCGACGCCGCGUGGGGGAUGACGGUCUUCGGAUUGUAAACCCCUUUCAGUAGGGACGAAGCGCAAGUGACGGUACCUGCAGAAGAAGCACCGGCUAACUACGUGCCAGCAGCCGCGGUAAUACGUAGGGUGCGAGCGUUGUCCGGAAUUACUGGGCGUAAAGAGCUCGUAGGCGGUUUGUCACGUCGUCUGUGAAAUCCCUCGGCUUAACCGGGGGCGUGCAGGCGAUACGGGCAGACUUGAGUACUACAGGGGAGACUGGAAUUCCUGGUGUAGCGGUGAAAUGCGCAGAUAUCAGGAGGAACACCGGUGGCGAAGGCGGGUCUCUGGGUAGUAACUGACGCUGAGGAGCGAAAGCAUGGGUAGCGAACAGGAUUAGAUAC